GACGAACCGAGCGAACGUUGUUCGGAAUCACUGGGCUUAAAGGGCGCGUAGGCGGGUGCUCAAGUCCGGGGGUGAAAUCCUCCAGCUCAACUGGAGAACUGCCUCGGAUACUGGGUGCCUCGAGGGUGGUAGGGGGUAUGCGGAACUAUCGGUGGAGCGGUGAAAUGCGUUGAUAUCGAUAGGAACUCCGGUGGCGAAGGCGGCAUACUGGACCACUUCUGACGCUGAGGCGCGAAAGCCAGGGGAGCAAACGGG
rnacentral:rRNA from 1 species